rnacentral:rRNA from 1 species
UACGUAGGGUGCAAGCGUUGUCCGGAAUUAUUGGGCGUAAAGCGCUCGUAGGCGGUUCGUCGCGUCGGCUGUGAAAACCCGGAGCUCAACUCCGGGCCUGCAGUCGAUACGGGCGGACUUGAGUGUUGCAGGGGAGACUGGAAUUCCUGGUGUAGCGGUGAAAUGCGCAGAUAUCAGGAGGAACACCGGUGGCGAAGGCGGGUCUCUGGGCAGUAACUGACGCUGAGGAGCGAAAGCGUGGGGAGCGAACAGG